rnacentral:tRNA from 1 species
GCGGUUCUGGCCCAACGGUAGAGGCGCUGGUUUCAGGGACCAGAGGAUCGGGGUUCGAAUCCCCGGAGCCGCA